ensembl:rRNA 5S_rRNA 5S ribosomal RNA
CAGCCUGAAGGCGCCCGAUCUCGUCUGAUCUCGGAAGCUAAGCAGGGUCG